GGCGCACGGGUGCGUAACGCGUAUGCAAUCUACCUUUUACAGAGGGAUAGCCCAGAGAAAUUUGGAUUAAUACCUCAUAGUAUAGCUGAAUCGCAUGAUUCUACUAUUAAAGUCACAACGGUAAAAGAUGAGCAUGCGUCCCAUUAGCUAGUUGGUAAGGUAACGGCUUACCAAGGCUACGAUGGGUAGGGGUCCUGAGAGGGAGAUCCCCCACACUGGUACUGAGACACGGACCAGACUCCUACGGGAGGCAGCAGUGAGGAAUAUUGGACAAUGGGCGCAAGCCUGAUCCAGCCAUGCCGCGUGCAGGAUGACGGUCCUAUGGAUUGUAAACUGCUUUUGUACGAGAAGAAACACUGCUUCGUGAAGCAGCUUGACGGUAUCGUAAGAAUAAGGAUCGGCUAACUCCGUGCCAGCAGCCGCGGUAAUACGGAGGAUCCAAGCGUUAUCCGGAAUCAUUGGGUUUAAAGGGUCCGUAGGCGGUUUAAUAAGUCAGUGGUGAAAGCCCAUCGCUCAACGGUGGAACGGCCAUUGAUACUGUUAAACUUGAAUUAUUAGGAAGUAACUAGAAUAUGUAGUGUAGCGGUGAAAUGCUUAGAGAUUACAUGGAAUACCAAUUGCGAAGGCAGGUUACUACUAAUGGAUUGACGCUGAUGGACGAAAGCGUGGGUAGCGAACAGGAUUAGAUACCCUGGUAGUCCACGCCGUAAACGAUGGAUACUAGCUGUUGGAAGCAAUUUCAGUGGCUAAGCGAAAGUGAUAAGUAUCCCACCUGGGGAGUACGUUCGCAAGAAUGAAACUCAAAGGAAUUGACGGGGGCCCGCACAAGCGGUGGAGCAUGUGGUUUAUUCGAUGAUACGCGAGGAACCUUACCAAGGCUUAAAUGUAGAUUGACCGGUUUGGAAACAGACUUUUCGCAAGACAAUUUACAAGGUGCUGCAUGGUUGUCGUCAGCUCGUGCCGUGAGGUGUCAGGUUAAGUCCUAUAACGAGCGCAACCCCUGUUGUUAGUUGCCAGCGAGUCAUGUCGGGAACUCUAACAAGACUGCCAGUGCAAACUGUGAGGAAGGUGGGGAUGACGUCAAAUCAUCACGGCCCUUACGCCUUGGGCUACACACGUGCUACAAUGGCCGGUACAGAGAGCAGCCACUGGGCGACCAGGAGCGAAUCUAUAAAACCGGUCACAGUUCGGAUCGGAGUCUGCAACUCGACUCCGUGAAGCUGGAAUCGCUAGUAAUCGGAUAUCAGCCAUGAUCCGGUGAAUACGUUCCCGGGCCUUGUACACACCGCCCGUCAAGCCAUGGAAGCUGGGGGUGCCUGAAGUCGGUGACCGCAAGGAGCUGCCUAGGGUAAAACUGGUAACUAGGGCUAAGUCGUAACAAGGUAACCAACU
rnacentral:rRNA from 1 species